UACGUAGGGUGCGAGCGUUAAUCGGAAUUACUGGGCGUAAAGCGGGCGCAGGCGGUUCGCUGUGUCCGAUGUGAAAGCCCCGGGCUUAACCUGGGAAUGGCAUUGGAAACUGGCGGGCUUGAGUGUGGCAGAGGGGGGUGGAAUUCCGCGUGUAGCAGUGAAAUGCGUAGAGAUGCGGAGGAACACCGAUGGCGAAGGCAGCCCCCUGGGCUAACACUGACGCUCAGGCACGAAAGCGUGGGGAGCAAACAGG
rnacentral:rRNA from 1 species